UUGUGCUUGCACAGAUGACGACCGGCGCACGGGUGCGUAACGCGUAUAGAACCUACCUUUUACAGAGGAAUAGCCUUUAGAAAUGAAGAUUAAUGCCUCAUGGUAUUGUAGACUGGCAUCAGUUUAUAAUUAAAGAUUUAUCGGUAAAAGAUGGCUAUGCGUCCUAUUAGUUAGUUGGUAAGGUAACGGCUUACCAAGACAGCGAUAGGUAGGGGUCCUGAGAGGGAGAUCCCCCACACUGGUACUGAGACACGGACCAGACUCCUACGGGAGGCAGCAGUGAGGAAUAUUGGACAAUGGAGGAGACUCUGAUCCAGCCAUGCCGCGUGUAGGAAGAAUGCCCUAUGGGUUGUAAACUACUUUUAUACAGGAAGAAACACUGGUAUGUAUACCAGCUUGACGGUACUGUAAGAAUAAGGACCGGCUAACUCCGUGCCAGCAGCCGCGGUAAU
rnacentral:rRNA from 1 species